UUUCUUUUAUUUAAUUACUUUUCUGGUGUUGCUCCUCGUUUUGUUGAGUUACUUGUGAGGGAGGACAUUCCGCAGCUUUAGCCUUAAUUUUGUAAAGGUUUUCCUUCCUUUACAGCCUUAUAGGUCGAAAAUUGCUUCAGGAACGUCGGAGAAUGCCGGGGUUGUAAUUAUUUGGUCAAGGGGCUGUCCCAAGUUUUGUGAAACUUCUGCUGGUAUCACUUGGAUCAUCGUCGAAGCCGGCGGGACCUCUGACGUUCUCCUCAACCUCGAGUAGUAACACUAAAUCACUAAUACAGUUUUCGGUUUUCAAUAUAUAUCAUAUUUUUUUGAAAAAUUGGAGAUGAAUAAAGGGUAAAAUAGUGGUUCAGUAAUCUAAUAGAUGUACUGUUAAGUCAUUUCGCUAAACAAAGGGAACGUCUCAGCAUUUGUCAAUUCCAGAGGGGAGGUUUAAGCAUUUAACCUUUUUUUUUUCUGUCUUUGGGUAAAAAGAAAAGUUGAGUGCAGUUUACUUGCCUGCCUGCCUGAACUAAGCAAAGAAAUAAAGAAGCAUUUUCAUAUCGACUCCGCCCCUCGUGAUUUUCGUCUGAGCAAAGCGCCAUGGCGGUAUCUCUGAAGUGCUUCGUUUCGUACACAAACCCUAACUCUACUACUGUCUCUACGAGGAGUGGUUCCAUGGCCUUUUCUACUCCUCUUUCUUCUGCCUCGUCGUUUUGUUCCGAACCUUCACCUUUUCGUCCUUACAAUUACAGGGUCGCGGUUGCCGGUCGCUGCAUCUCUCUCAAAGGGUUUGGAUCUCGUUUUGCUUUGCCCCAUCGCCCAAGGUCCAACAAUGGAUCGGUUACCUCAUUUGCUGCUUCGCAUGAAGACUCGAAGAAUUCAGAAAUUGAAGUUGAAGGGAAGAGUGAGUUUGACAUUAGAGCCAAGGAAUCCCAAGAAGCACUGAAACAGACAUUAGAAUCUUUCAAAGAACAAGCCGUAAAGAUGCAGAUCAUGUCUGAAGAAGCAUACAAGUUAUACUCUGAGAAGGCAAGGGUGGUUUUGAAGGAUACCUCAGCACAGCUAAGCAUCCAGGUGGAGAAAGCAAGACAUGAUCUGAGUAUAAUAGCAAGAGAAAUCAGUGAAGAAGGUAAAGAAUAUCUUUCUACAGUGGCAGACAAUUCUCCUGAGCCAGUGAAGGACAUUGUGGAAACCUUUGCUUCCUCAACUAAUGAUUUGAAGGAAGUUUCUAAGGUUCAAGACUUUUACCUUGGGAUUCCUUAUGGUGUCUUUCUUUCUGGUGGUGGUUUUCUUUCCUUCAUGAUAACUGGAAGCAUUUCUGCCAUUAGGUUUGGGGUUAUUCUUGGGGGUAUUCUUCUAGCAUUAAGUAUAUCAAGUCUGAGAUCAUGGAAAAGGGGGGAAUCGUUUGCUCUGGCUUUGAAAGGGCAAGCAGCUGUUGCAGGUAUAAUAUUUUUAAGGGACUUGCGCUUGCUUUCACAGAGGCCAUCAUUUUCAAGUUCCUUUAUGACACUCAUCAGUGGCACAAUGGUGGCUUUCUAUUUGUAUAGGAUUACAUUAAAUGGUGAUCAGAAGAAAGGACCAAUCUCGGGCUAUGGUUCAGAAAAUUAGUGCUGUUACACAAGUUUGCCAUGUGGCUUACGUUUCAUAUGAUGAUGGUUAUAAGAUGGGAGAAGCUGAUUUUCAUUGCCUCUGCUUCGUUCAUUCAGCAAUGCUAAGCAUAUGGGUUGGGCAGAUGUGUUUUUGAAGUUUGAACAGUGUGUUGAACACCAUGGACCUGCUCGUGGGACCAAUUGUAUUGUCAUUUUUUUUCUUUCAAACAAUGGGCCCCAUGUUAUGCACUGGAUUGAUGCUGCUCAAGUCACUCUGUUCAAAGACAGUAUCCAGAUUCUCAUCCAUAAGCUGGAUUUAUUGGUUGAGUUCAAGUGGAUCCACAAAAAAUGAAUCAUAUUAAGCUUCUAUCUGAUGACAUUCAACUUUUGAACCAAUGGAUCUACUUUUUAUUGGAUGUUAAAGAGUUCUAAUCUGACUGCACUAGUAGGGGCGCAAGUCGGUUACAUGAUUUGAGGAAUUUACAUUGCAUCAGGCGUGGGCAUUUGGGCUGGGCCCAUUCAAAUUUUAAUAAGUUUCAACCUGAGCCCGCCCAAGUCGCAUCCCCAGCUUACUUGAUUCUAGUUCUUUAUAGAUCUUUAUGAGAGCAUCUACUAGUAUUUGCAUGUUUUUUCUCCUUUUCCUAUGCUCCAGGUUGAGGAAGGUUUAAUUGAACCAAAAGGAAAAUGCCUGUUGGGGGAAAGGGCAGAUGAAUAAGAAGGAAGCAUAGAAUGAUAUGAAGAUGCCCACUUCUUUUGGGAAGGUAGAUACUGUCCAUCCCCACCUCCCACCCCUUCCAUAAUUCUGUCGAUAUGUUCAUAUAUCUCAGCUUUUGAUGUUAAAGACUUUGGAAAAUUACUCUUUUUAUUAUUUUCUUUUUGGGUGUUUUUGUUAAUUAAUGUGGAAAUUUUUGUUUUUUGAGAAACAAAAUCAUGCACAUUGGCGAAUGCAAACUUAGAACAAGGCUUUUUAACUACUAUAAGGAGAAUUAGCACUCCCUUAUAUAUUUAUCAGCUAUCCAAGGUAAGAGACGGUUUGCUUGUCA